rnacentral:rRNA from 1 species
UACGAAGGGUGCGAGCGUUAAUCGGAAUUACUGGGCGUAAAGCGCGCGUAGGUGGUUGAGUAAGCGAUCUGUGAAAGCCCUGGGCUUAACCUGGGAACUGCAGGUCGAACUGCUUGGCUAGAGUAUGGUAGAGGGGUGUGGAAUUUCCUGUGUAGCGGUGAAAUGCGUAGAUAUAGGAAGGAACAUCAGUGGCGAAGGCGACACCCUGGACCGAUACUGACACUGAGGCGCGAAAGCGUGGGUAGCGAACAGGAUUAGAAACCCCUGUAGUCC